rnacentral:rRNA from 1 species
CCUACGGGUGGCAGCAGUGAGGAAUAUUGGUCAAUGGGCGCGAGCCUGAACCAGCCAAGUCGCGUGAGGGAUGACGGUCCUACGGAUUGUAAACCUCUUUUGCCGGGGAGCAAGCGUGCGUUCGUGAACGCGCGUCGAGAGUACCCGGAGAAAAAGCAUCGGCUAACUCCGUGCCAGCAGCCGCGGUAAUACGGAGGAUGCGAGCGUUAUCCGGAUUUAUUGGGUUUAAAGGGUGCGUAGGCGGGAUGCCAAGUCAGCGGUAAAAAUGCGGUGCUCAACGCCGUCGAGCCGUUGAAACUGGCAGUCUUGAGUACAGUAGAGGUGGGCGGAAUUCGUGGUGUAGCGGUGAAAUGCUUAGAUAUCACGAAGAACUCCGAUUGCGAAGGCAGCUCACUGGACUGCAACUGACACUGAGGCUCGAAAGUGUGGGUAUCAAACAGGAUUAGAUACCCCUGUAGUC